AUGGAGGACGAAUUGCUCGCCUUCUUCCCUAGUGGCAUCCGGGCCUUGCUUGUUGAUGAUAAUACAACGUUUGUAAACUCGGCUCGCACCAUGCUUAAUCUGUUGCGCUUCAAAGUGGCUACAUGCAAGACACCAACCGCAGCCCUGCGGUUUCUCUCAAAAAAUCAAAACGAUAUCAUCGAUGUCGUCCUCAUUGAUGGUCACAGGGUAUCAACAUGCGGUUUUGACCUACGCGCUAUAGUCGAGCGGGACCUCCACAUCCCAGUCAUCUAUUACAUGUCACUGGAAGACCCAAUUCCCACCAGCGGGGAUGAUACCCUUUCCCGGAUGGUGCAAGCAGCAACAUACAUCAUCAACAAGCCGCUCGACGCAUCCGAGCUGGGUAGCCCGUGGAGGGCUAUUGCCUACCGUAGAUUGGCUUGGAACGCGAGGAAAGUUAAUGGCCACAACGGUCAUGGCAAAGGCAAACCUGUAUCUCACUCAUUGGUUGGAGACAAAGGUCGUAGCCUCUCGUCAUUUCCACCAGGUUCAUCUGCUGAUGAUGGGGACGACGACAAUGAGAUAGAGCCUCGUGCUCACUUCAAGCUGGUUCGGGUUCACACCGAAACUAAGAACAGACCCAUGAUCCCCAUGGAGAAGGUUCCUCUAAAACCCACAAACACCACAUCGUGUGGUCACCGCUCCUCAAGGAAAGGUUCAAGUGUGCCGUGGAAGACAUGGGCAUCGGACACCCAAGCAAGAUACUGGAGCACAUGA
rnacentral:rRNA from 1 species